GAAUGAUAAGUAGGGGGAGAGAUUGGAGAGAAGGAUUUUAGGUUAUGUCAUAUAAACAUCCAAAUUAAUAGACCUAUUUUUUAUAGUUUAUACUCCGGCUCCUACAAGUAAGAGUGAAUUGGAUAAUCUUCAUUUUUAAAGCAUUGAAAUAUUUUACCAGUUUUAGGUGAAACACAAGAACUCAGGCACUGAAUAACGACGUGGGAAACAAAAUAAAUAUUAGGCUAAUUUAAAAAAUUUAGUUUUUCCGGCAACUAUAAUUAGUAUGCUAUUGGGGUUAAAUAAAGACAUUCAACUUAAUUUAGACGAUUCCCAUAGCCUAUUGUCAUCCGGAAAGGGAAUAAACACAAUGAUCAAAAGAACGUUUUAAAUUGUUAUACUUUCCAAAUUUAAACAAAACUGGGUUCAAACUUUAGUAAAUAGAAAUUUAUUUUUAAAUGUUCUUUACUUUGGUUACUCUUUGUCAAAUCAUUCCUGUAAUCAAAUUUCUAUCUGAAAGAAUAUCGAUAACUAGUAAAUAUUGUGCAAAUGUUGGCAAUACAGAUAUGUCCUGAUAAGUAAAACUAGUUUUUUUACCAACAGUUAUUAAUUAUGAAUCACAACUUAAUGUGCAACAGAAUUCUCUGCUGUUUUAGAUUAAGAUUUUAUAACUUUUCUAAAACGCUUGCCACAAAAUAUGAAACCCACACUUUAUCGCAGUUUAGUCCUACGACAAGCAAUUUUCCCAAAAGAUUUCACUGUUCACCUGAAAGGUUUAACGAGGAAUCAAUAGAAGAGACUGGGGAACCAGAAGACUUGCUUUCACCUCAAAAAAGUAUCAUCUUGGAGGACUACUCUGAACAGUUCCGCAACACACUUUAUCCAGAGUCAGACGAUCCGUUGAUAUCUCAGUUGAAAUCCUGUGAUUCAAUAAAGGACCUUUUCUCCACUGUAAAUAGACAUAAAGGAACUUUGACUCCAUCACACUACUGUCAAGUAUUGCUAGUUUUGUACGAUAUACUUCAUGUCAACAAUUGUCUCACAUUUGGGGCCAUUGUGGCUAACCUACCUGAGAGUAUAAAAAGUGAACUACCUGAACCUCUCUCUUCAGUUAUCUUAAACAUAUUAGACGUCAUAAAGGAUAAUGUAGACCGACUGAGUGCCGAUGAACUUGUUUGUUGUUUAUUGUACUCAAAAAGAUUGGGCGUAGACAUAAAACACCCAUCAGUCCAAACUAUUUUGACAAAAAUUGACCACAUGUUACUAAACCAAGAUGCUGAAUCGUUUUCAAUAUCUGCUUUAUCAAGACUAACAGUUGUAUUGGACAAUCGAAAUGAAUUGUGGACGAAAUUGUUUCUAAUCAAAACAUUACCACUUAUUCAUAGUCACUUUGACAGAUGUAGGAAUGCUGAUGAGUUUAAAGCACUCACAAUCAGCAUGCUGUCAACAGUGAGUUAUCUGAGAGAAGAAUUACUCAUGGAUUAUGAAGCACUAACUGAAGAGUUUCUACGGAAAGGAAUAAUAACUAAAGAGAAUCGGUCAGUGAUUGUUAAAGCCAUUAUGCUGUUAAACCAUGUAUAUUACCAUCCUGCUGCUCGGCAUAUGACGUACAAACUUCUUCACAUGCUACAUGGCCAGUUUCAUGAAAUGUUUCUCCCCCAUCUUUCAGAAAUUCAAAAGGUUCUACAGCAGCAAAAAGAACCGCAUGACACCAUUAUGUUGUUAAAUAAUUUCAAGAAAAAGUCAACAUUUUUACCAAAGCAUGAUGAUGCAAAUUUACAUUUCUACCUACCUUUGUUGAAUUUAUCUACAGAUGCCAAAGGAUCUCAAUUUAUGAAGGAAUUGAUAGCGAAAAGCAACAAUCUUGAUAUUCUACUGAACCUCCAAACCCACCUGACAACUGCAAUGCCUGAUGUUUGCAACAUGUUCUGGUCUAAAGUGGCAGAGAUGUUGGGGUCAUCAACUCCAUUAGACGUCUCAACACUCAUAAGAAUCCUCUUCAGGUACUUGAACUUCUCCAAUCGCAUGGUGACGUACCACCACCGUCAGUUUGAGUCUGUGGCUCUACUAUUGGCUGCUAGAGAGCUAGUGGAUGGCACGACUGUGAUGCAGCCUAAGAAGUUUGCGCUCCUUGCCUACUUUGUGUUGACAGUGGAUACUGAUAGUGGAGUGGCCAGUCUGUCUAACGAUGUUUUGUCUCGUCUUCUUGUUGUCAUUAGUCAGCUGGACAUCCUCAGUUGUAAGUGGGUUUCCAAGGGCAUUGGUGACCGACUUCGCAAGAGCAAGGACGUCCAUUUGCUGUUACAGUUGGAUACUGCCAUGAACGAGCAAAUCAAGGAACUAUCGAAGACUAUAAAUCCUGGUUCUAUAAAAUACUAUAACACAAUUCUGAGGUCGUUUAUUAGUAGAAAACAAUCAGUAGAGAGUGAUCUAAUGCGGGAUGCGAUCAACAGAUGGCGAAUGCUGGACUGGAGUCGGUUGACGUCAAGAUCCCUGCGUAACCUGGUAUACAACCUUGAUAUUUCGAAUGUUCUCAUACCUCAAGUGGUUGAGCGGAUGGUGGAUUACUGUCUGAACAACGAUGCUUACGUGACGGCAGGCACGGUGGGCAAGUUGUUGCAUAUGUGUUACCAUCUGGGAUACACACCAACACAUGUGGACGCGUUGUGUGGCCUCAGUGCCGACCUGGCCACUAGGGACGAGGUAUCAUUGAAUGGAUUGAGUAUCCUGCAAGUAGCUCUAGCUCUAAGUUACUUCGACCGUCUACCAACCUCCCUCAUUAAAAUAAUCUUCACAGUUGACUUCCUCGAAACAUUGGAUAAUGAAAUCAAACAUUGCUUUGCCAAAGACAGAUACCCCCAGAGAGUAAGAAGGGCCCUGAUGGAGCUCAACAGAUCUGUGUGUCUAGACCAACCUGAAGCUGACGUCCCAUGGUUCCAUUCUAAAUUCUGUGAGGAGCAAAAAGCGUUAGGUCAGCUCGAAGUAGUGCCCAAAUCACUUCUGUUCACUGAUGUGUACAGCACAUUGCUGAAACUUGUGGGAGGCAGUCAAUACAUUGGCACCAGGACUUUCUCACCCUACGGCUAUGUGUUAGAUAUGCAAGUAAAUUUAGAUGCAGCAUUACAACCAGUGCCUCUGAAAAGUGACGAAGGUGUUAACAAAUUAGCCUUGCUGUUGUACCACGGAGACAGUUACACAGCGUUUGAGCAGCGACUGAAGGGCUUCCUACAGAUGAAGCAGAGACAUUUGGAGAUCCUCGGCUACAGAGUCAUCAGCCUGUCAGACUCUCUGUGGAACGCUAUGUACAUGACAGAACCCAAGGUCAAGCUGGAGUACCUGCAUAGUCUCAUUUGGCCUUCAUGACAGGAAUUCUCAAAUGAAGAUGAAGAUCCAAAGUGACGAUGCCAAAUGCUGCAAAAAAACUGAUUAGUGAGAAGACUAUCUCUACACAGACAGACUGCAGUGGAGAGCCGUCUCUACACAGAUUAGCCUCUACUGUGGAUAACCACGGCAUCUUGGGCCACACCUGGUGUAUACCCUGCUU